GACGAACGCUGGCGGCGUGCUUAACACAUGCCAGUCGAACGGUAAGGCCCUUUCGGGGGUACACGAGUGGCGAACGGGGGCGUAACACGUGGGUGAUCUGCCCUGCACUUUGGGAUAAGCCUGGGAAACUGGGUCUAAUACCGGAUAGGACUACGCGAUGCAUGUCGUGUGGUGGAAAGCUUUUGCGGUGUGGGAUGGGCCCGCGGCCUAUCAGCUUGUUGGUGUGGUGAUGGCCUACCAAGGCGACGACGGGUAGCCGGCAUGAGAGGGUGUCCGGCCACAAUGGGACUGAGGUACGGCCCAGACUCCUACGGGAGGCAGCAGUGGGGAAUAUUGCACAAUGGGCGCGAGCCUGAUGCAGCGACGCCGCGUGGGGGAUGACGGCUUUCGGGUUGUAAACCCCUUUCAGCACAGACGAAGCGUAAGUGACGGUAUGUGCAGAAGAAGCCCCGGCCAACUACGUG
rnacentral:rRNA from 1 species